AUUCUACUCCCUCCAUUGCACAAUACAUGCCUUCUAUUUGUCAAAAUAUAUAUGUAUCUAGACAUGUUUUAGUAUAUAGGCACAUCCAUUUUUGGACAAAUGGAAGUCAAGUAUUUUGGAACGGAGGGAGUACACA
rfam:Triticum aestivum genome assembly, contig: Triticum_aestivum_CS42_TGACv1_scaffold_036469_1BL